CCUACGGGGGGCAGCAGUGGGGAAUAUUGGGCAAUGGAGGCAACUCUGACCCAGCAAUGCCGCGUGAGUGAUGAAGGUAAUUUUAUUGUAAAGCUCUUUUCUUUGGAACGAAUAAAUGACGGUACCAAAGGAAUAAGCCCCGGCUAACUACGUGCCAGCAGCCGCGGUAAUACGUAGGGAGCGAGCGUUAUCCGGAAUUAUUGGGCGUAAAGGGUGCGUAGAUGGCAUAGUAAGUCUUUUGUAAAAAUGCUGGGCUCAACCCAGUAGGGCAAAAGAUACUGCAAAGCUAGAGUAUGACAGAGGCAAGUGGAACUACAUGUGUAGCGGUAAAAUGCGUAAAUAUAUGUAAGAACACCAGUGGCGAAGGCGGCUUGCUGGGUCGAUACUGACAUUGAGGCACGAAAGCGUGGGGAGCAAACAGGAUUAGAUACCCCGGUAGUC
rnacentral:rRNA from 1 species